rnacentral:rRNA from 1 species
GACGAACGCUGGCGGCGUGCUUAACACAUGCAAGUCGAACGGAAAGGCCCUGCUUUUGUGGGGUGCUCGAGUGGCGAACGGGUGAGUAACACGUGAGUAACCUGCCCUUGACUUUGGGAUAACUUCAGGAAACUGGGGCUAAUACCGGAUAGGAGCUCCUGCUGCAUGGUGGGGGUUGGAAAGUUUCGGCGGUUGGGGAUGGACUCGCGGCUUAUCAGCUUGUUGGUGGGGUAGUGGCUUACCAAGGCUUUGACGGGUAGCCGGCCUGAGAGGGUGACCGGCAACAUGGGGGUGGAGAGAGGCCCCAGCCGCGUCGGGGGGGCAGCGGGGGGAAAUAUGACAAAGGGGGCGCACGCCUGAGACGCAACCCCCGGGGGGGGAAUGCCGGCUUGCGGGUGGUAAACGGCUUUCGCCUGUAACGAAGCGGGGGUGACGGUAAGGGAAAAAAAAGCCCCGGCUAACUCCGUG